rnacentral:piRNA from 1 species
UAGUAAAACGGUAGCUUAGCCACGUCCUC